AUAUGCUGGACUUCGUGUUUGUUGUUGAUGAUUCCAUGACCUGGCAUAUGAUGAACUUGUUAAAGAACAGGAGUCAUUAUUCCUUCCUAAAAGUUUUUGGGCCAAAACAGAUAAGUAGUAUACAGAGCUAUGGAGCAGGGAUUUACUACAAUACUUUAGUGCCAUGUAAUGGUAGGAUGAUAAAAUAUGGUGUAAUUAGCACUGAUACCCUAAUUGAUGAUUUACUCCACUGGGAAACUCUCUAUGUCGCUGGACGCCUACAAAAACCGGUGAAAAUACUGACACAGAAUGAGAAUAGCAAGCUGCAAGCUGCUCUGGUUAGCAACCUGAAGAGUGCAGUCACAGCAGCCUUUCUUAUGUUACCUGAAAGUUUCUCUGAAGAAGACCUCUACAUGCAGAUCGCAGGACUCUCCUAUUCCGGUGAUUUCAGAAUGGUAAUAGGAGAAGACAGAUCGAAAGUGCAGAACAUAGUGAAACCUAAUGUUCCCCAUUUUCAGAAGCUGUACAGUAACAUAUUACAGGACUGCCCUCAAGUGGUAUAUAAGCACCAUCUGGGAAGGCUAGAGAUUGAUAAAAGUCCUGAAGGUCAAUUUACACAACUAAUGGCUUUGCCAAGGACUCUGCAACAAAAGAUAACUUCUCUAGUAGACCCUCCUGGAAAAAACAGAGAUGUGGAAGAAAUUUUACUGCAAGUUGCCCAUGACCCUGACUGUGGAGUUGUGGUUCAUCAAGGCAUUUCGGGAAUUGUGAGGUCUUCCAGUAUAGUGCAGAGUGCUAAAACCAUACUAACAGCUGGGGCAAAGAAGUCUGUAACUUACAGUAUGAAGAAAUUAUAUAAAAUGACAAAGGGAUGGUUGAGGAAGACCUCUUGAGUCCUGACAUACUGCGUAUGGGUAAAUAAGUGGUACUUUUUCUCUAAAUAUUUUGCAGAUGUUGCUUUGCCUGCUUGAGAAGAUUAUAAUGCAUUUAAGCCUGUUCUAAUGAUUUACUUGCCCAUUUUUACUACUAAAAUGGAAACUUUUGUUAGCAGAGGAAGGUUUGAUGGUAAUAGGGCAAAGGAAUUAUACUGUAUAAAUACUGAAAUGAAUUUUCCUGUACACUAUAGCUUAGAUUUUCAGAAACCCUGAGUAAAAAGGAUUGAUUGUACAUAUGAAUUAAAAAUAAAAGCCACUUAUUUUCUAUCUAUUGCUAACUUUAUUUUCCAAAAUACCCCCAGGCUCUUUCGAAAUAUUCACUGUCACAACUCUAGUUCUGUCAGGGAUUUAUGGAACUGGAAAGUCCACUGAGUUUUAAGUAGAUAUGAGACUGUCCUCUAGAAAUACAUUUUUUUCUGCACUUACAAGUUCAUCCUUAGAAUUCUUCUGAAGAUGCUUACUGGAUGCUUCUGCAGGGUACACUUUAUGAAAUUUUUUUCUCAGAUGUGUGAUGUUCUAAAUCCCAAAAUUUUGACAAUGACUUUCAGUCUGGGAAAGAGCAUUUGAAUGAGAAAGUUGUCGGGUAUCAGAUCCUUUCAUGAGACUGAGAUGACAACUGCCCAACUCAUAGCUAAGUGUUGUCUAAAGUGUCAGAGUUGGAAGGAAAGUCAUACUUCUGCUGACCUUCAGGACCUAUUUGUGCAGACUUAUGAAAUGUGUGUUGUUUGGCAGGAGAUUCUAAGUGCUUUAAAGUUGGAAAUUGUAUGAACAAAACCACCUAUUGUUUGAUUCUUCAAUUUUUUUUUUCCUGAAAAUGCUGUCCUCAAAGAUAAAACUUGUUCUCCUUUGCUUAAUUAAAUUAGCUAAAGAAAAUUGGACUCCUACAUUACAUAUUACGUUAAUCGUCCCAUUAAAGAAUGACAGUAUUCAUGUGUGACGCAAUAGAUUUGGAGCAUCUGUUGUAAAUAGAAUAUUUUUUGUGCUGAGUCAGGUGGGUUUACUAAUUUUGGAUGUUUUUCUUUCUAUUAAGAAAUUGAGAGAAGAUGUGGUUUUAUUUGUGAGACUGUCAAUAACUUAAAGGUAUACUUGGUGGAAAAUUCUUAAGAACAGAGAAUACUGAUCCCAGUGGUAGAAACAGACCCCGACAGAUGCAAGGCUUUUGGACAAAUGAACAGCACAAGGAAAGAUUCAGGAUGGAGUCAUGACCUUUUGAAUGAAAUAGUUACCAGGUAUGAAGUGCAGUGCUGCCAGAACUGCUUGGUUUAGUCAUCUAAUGUGGUAAAAGCUUUUAUUUUUUGCCCCAAAUGAAGUUUGCUGUAGGGGAAGCCGUAUAUGGGCAGGAGUGUGGACAAGAGACUGAUUUUUACACUGGCAAUUUGGUGUUAGCAGAUUUUUAGUAGGAUCCACUGUAUUAUUUGGAGGUGAUGGGGUGUGUGAAAGCCCUCAUCUGUGAAAGUCUUAGGAUACAAAAGAAAUUUGGAAACAUGUCAUGUAAUAUAUCAACUCCUUGUAGGAAACAGGACAAUUUCAACAAUAACCCUCUGUAUGAAUAGUUAGCAGAAUGAUUGCUUGGUUUAUUUAUUUAUUAAUGUAACUGAAUUUUAUGUUCUGGGCUUUCUUUAGUAGUUGUGUUUUUUUUCUUUUAAGGCUGUGUGGAAAAGGGCCUAAGUGAGCCUUAACUCCUUCUAAAGGAGAGGAUGUUCCUUCUAAAGGAGAGGAUGCUCACCCCUGGUGAGGAUUUGUCCUCAACAUGUUCAGCGAGAUCACUCUUAGUGAAAUGGUAUUUUUAUCUGUGGGUCCGUGUGUGUGAAUUCUGUUCUGUUAGUCAACUUCUGGAAAAUGAAUACUGUAAGCAGAAAAAUAUAGUUGGGUUUAUGUUUUUAAAAAAUGCCAGCUGCUGCACACUGGAUUGUUAGAAAAUUGUUCCAUGUACUGAAUACAUUACCAGAUAAUUAAGGCUAACAACUAAAAUGUUAUUCCAAAUUUUGCCUCAUUUAUCUCCUUUUUCUGUCUGUAAAUGAAAAUGUAACUAUUGCAUUUUUGUAAUUCCCAUAAUUCCCUCAAGGAUGCUGGCUUUCCUAGGUGCUGUAUAGAAAUGUACAAGCUGAAAGGGGGGAAAAAAAAAGGGGCAUCUGUGGUGCACAGAUAGAGCAAAAACUUAUUCACAGAAUAAACAAUAUGACCAAAUUAAAAAGCAGGCAGUGGCAAAACUAGACAGUCUUACUUUUAAGGAGCUCAUUCCUUCCUCCUGUAAUAGUGCGAUUAAGUCAAGUUUUACAUCAUGAGCCACACUGGGAAGUAACACCAUUGAACAAAACAAUCCUGACCAACCUGUGCUUUCUUAAGAAAAGUUGAGGAUGGGACUUUUUAAACCUGAUUAAAUAACAGCACCACAAUGUGAAACCACUGGCUCAUAAAUUAUAACUGGUUCAAGCACUGGUUGAGAGAGAUCGUGUGUCGUAAGAUUGCCCAACAUCUGGUUGAGAAUUCUUACUAGCAGAGCAUUUAAUCGCAUGCUUGACUUAAAAUGAAUACAUUACUACCGUUGUUGAACAGGUAUGUAAUUCCUCUUUGAGACUAGGGGCAACGUAUAGCUUGGGCUUGAAUCUACCGAAGUAAAAAAACUUUAAAAAAAUUCUAUGUGAUGCCUCAGUGCAGUUGAACACUGCUGACCCCCUCCUGGGAUACAGCUGCAGCAUAAGUGAAAGCUGGAUUCUAACAGCUCAUUCCCUUUGGUGGUUUUUAUUUGUUAGCUAGAGGUUGUGACUGUUUUCCCUUUUAUUGAGAGAGGGUGCCUUGGAGAUGUGUGUGUACCAGAACUUUAAAUAGAAUAUCCUACAAGGAUACCUUGCAUCCUAAGAGGCUCAGUGUUUCUCUUUCUUUUCAGUUCCUCACUACCACUGAGUUUGGGGAUGAGCAGCAGUUAAAUCUAGAAUUUUUUAAAUGAUGGAAUGUAACUCUAGGGAAGCAUUGAAAAGAGCGGCUUUCUUUUAGAAGCCAUUAGCAAUACAGUUAAAGGUAACAUUCUCAAUCACAGAAUGGCAAGGGUUGGAAGGGACCU